rnacentral:lncRNA from 10 species
AUACACACUCAUGCCUUCUCAACACACGUACCAGCCCACUUGCACGCACUUGCAAGCGCUUGCACCCUCCACACGCACCGCUCGGAGCUUUUCCCCCUCUCUCCUCCCAAUGGCUGGCUUCUGGAGCCGACCCUUCCACGCGCCCCCAGCUUCGCGGCAGCUAGGUCCCUCCCCAGCGCGCUGAGCUCACAGCGCAGGAGCCGGUCGCAGCCACACAGGCCGGUCCGACGGGACCACUGCUUCCCUCCUCACAUCCCAGGAGACACCAGGUGGGGCGUGGCACCUCCCACACACGGCUGGAGGGACUCCCAGGAUUUCCCGUCCUUCCGAAUUCGUGGGGGGUCAGAGGACUGCGGGGAGGCGUUUCUCAUCCUCGCUGGGGAAAGGACUCACCUGGUUCCCAAAGCCAGUUUGCUCUUCCUCUACUUCCUGCCAGAGGUCGUAGGAUUUCUGAUGAUCUGCCCUGAUGUCCCAACAUUCUUGGGGAGCCUGGCCUUAAAGAACAAUGGAAAGAAGCAGUCAUAGGAAUCCUGGACCAGGAAUAUGUGCCUGAGAGGGAUUAUACACCUGGUGCUGAGCAGUGCCGUCCAGCUCUUUAAAAGGAUUGAGAAGAGCCAGAAGGAAAUCAACCUGCCCAUGGAGCUUCUGGGAUGGAUUAAGCCAUUGUAUCACAGCAGUUCUGGAAAGAAGAAAAAGGUGGCACACAAAAUAUACAGGAAAGUGUUUUAAUUUACUCAGUGCCCUAAAAGCUAAGAACAAGACUAAAUAAGUAAAAUUGAAAGGGCUAUACUACAUUCAUUUGUAUUUUCUGCACUGCAUGCUGCUCUAUAAAUACUCUUUCUCACUAUAUACUGUUUUCCCUAACUAGACUGAAAGUUCCUGGAGGUCAUCAACCACAUAUAUUUCUUUUGUAGCCCCCAAAUCGCCCACCACAGAGUACACAGCGUAUGCUCAAUAAAUGCUGUUGACCAACUGA